UGGGGAAUCUUCGGCAAUGGACGAAAGUCUGACCGAGCAACGCCGCGUGAGUGAAGAAGGUUUUCGGAUCGUAAACUCUGUUGUUAGAGAAGAACAAGGGUGAGAGUAACUGUUCACCCCUUGACGGUAUCUAACCAGAAAGCCACGGCUAACUACGUGCCAG
rnacentral:rRNA from 1 species